AGAGUUUGAUCAUGGCUCAGAUUGAACGCUGGCGGCAGGCUUAACACAUGCAAGUCGAACGGUAGCAGGAGGAAGCUUGCUUUCUUGCUGACGAGUGGCGGACGGGUGAGUAAUGCUUGGGAAUCUGGCUUAUGGAGGGGGAUAACGAUGGGAAACUGUCGCUAAUACCGCGUAGUGUCGAGAGACGAAAGGGUGGGACUUUUAGCCACCUGCCAUGAGAUGAGCCCAAGUGGGAUUAGGUAGUUGGUGGGGUAAAGGCCUACCAAGCCUGCGAUCUCUAGCUGGUCUGAGAGGAUGACCAGCCACACUGGAACUGAGACACGGUCCAGACUCCUACGGGAGGCAGCAGUGGGGAAUAUUGCGCAAUGGGGGGAACCCUGACGCAGCCAUGCCGCGUGAAUGAAGAAGGCCUUCGGGUUGUAAAGUUCUUUCGGUAUUGAGGAAGGUUGAUGUGUUAAUAGUACAUCAAAUUGACGUUAAAUACAGAAGAAGCACCGGCUAACUCCGUGCCAGCAGCCGCGGUAAUACGGAGGGUGCGAGCGUUAAUCGGAAUAACUGGGCGUAAAGGGCACGCAGGCGGUUAUUUAAGUGAGGUGUGAAAGCCCCGGGCUUAACCUGGGAAUUGCAUUUCAGACUGGGUAACUAGAGUACUUUAGGGAGGGGUAGAAUUCCACGUGUAGCGGUGAAAUGCGUAGAGAUGUGGAGGAAUACCGAAGGCGAAGGCAGCCCCUUGGGAAUGUACUGACGCUCAUGUGCGAAAGCGUGGGGAGCAAACAGGAUUAGAUACCCUGGUAGUCCACGCUGUAAACGCUGUCGAUUUGGGGGUUGGGGUUUAACUCUGGCGCCCGUAGCUAACGUGAUAAAUCGACCGCCUGGGGAGUACGGCCGCAAGGUUAAAACUCAAAUGAAUUGACGGGGGCCCGCACAAGCGGUGGAGCAUGUGGUUUAAUUCGAUGCAACGCGAAGAACCUUACCUACUCUUGACAUCCAACGAAUCCGAUAGAGAUAUUGGAGUGCCUUCGGGAACGU
rnacentral:rRNA from 1 species